AAGGUAGUUUACUAUUAAACUUUUUUUAUGCAUAUUUUUAUAACUCCAAAAAUCAACUGUUAGCUGUUUUGUCAUAUGAUCGAACAAAAAUAGAAGAUGGUGAUAAUUCCAAAACUGUGAAGUUCACGUUUAAAAAGAUGGAGGCACUAGGGGUUCUUUCAAACAAGCUACGUACCCAAUUCGAAUCGAGACUGCGUAAAAACGUCGAAAUAUCAAUGAUGUUUAGCUCCGAAUUAAUUAAGAACAAUAUUUGCGAAGUGAUAAAAAAUAUUAUGAGUAUUGAAAAUGGUAUAUCAUGUAAUGAUAAAGAAUAUAAAAAAAACAUAGAAAGUAAUAUAACUUAUUCAAAUAAAUUAAAAAAUUAUAAUUUUAUGGAUGAAUCAUUGAAUAAUAUAAUAGGAGAAGAUGAAAAUAAAAGUAAACAAAAACUUGAAAUAAGAAAAGUUAGUUUUGCAACCACUAAAGAAAUAUGUUUAUUAAAUAAAGAUAAUUUGUCAGUGCGUACUAAGACACUAUUAUUGGAAGAAUCUCUUAACAAAAUGAAUCGUACAGAAUGUGUUGUUUUAGGUAAUGAAAAUAAUGACCAUGAAAUUGUACAUGAUAUUAAUGAUAAUAAUGAUAGUAACGUAAUGAAGAUAGAUAAAUAUGAUUAUGGUAAUGAAAAUAAAAUAACUGGUGAAGUAUUAACAUUAACACAAAAAGAGUUAGCUGCAAAUUCAAAUUAUGAAUUGAUAAUAAAAAAGAAGGAAACAACAGGAGAAAUGGAUACAUACGGUGGUAAAAAUGAAGAUGUAGGUACAGAUGAAAAUGUAAAUAUACAAGAAAAAACAAAUAAUAAGAAUAAUAAUACAACAUGUAUGGUGCUCAAAGUUAGUUAUGCAACAACAAAAGAUUUAUAUAAUAACAAUCAUACAAGUAGUGAAGAAGAAAAUAUUAUUAGAGUAUACAAAAAUAGUGCUCCUAAUGAAUAUAAUGAUAUUCAUAAAAAGCAUGAUAGUUUAGUAGUAUAUAACAAUAAAGAACAUAUAGGAGAUUUAAAAAAUUGUUCAUUUAAUAUUGAUAAAACAUAUGAUAUAAAAAAUAAUAGUGAUAAUACGUAUUUGGUUCAUAAUGUUGAUGCUGAUUCGGGAGAGGAAGUAAAACGAACAAUGCAUAAAAAUAGUUCACCAAAUAUAAAUAAUGCGAAAAAUAUGGAUACAGUUAAUUUAUUUAGUACUGAUAAUAUUGUUCAAACAUAUCAAGAAAUAAACGACAAUGGUAUUGCUUGUCGGCAUGAGACUGUUGACAAUAGUAAAAUUGGUGAAUACGCCAAUAAUACCACAUGUAUAAACACAACUGAUAAUUAUAAUAACAUAAGUAGUGAUCAUAAUAAUAUAAGUAGUGAUCAUUAUGGUACUAAUAAUUUUAUUACAAAUAAUACUAUUAACAAUAAUUCUAUUGUAAGUUUUGAAAGAGUUGAGCUUAAUGAACAAGAAAAUAACAUAGUUAAAUCUCCUGCAGAAAUUGCUAAUACAAUAUUAAAUUCGAAUGAAAAGGAAAAAACGGUUGAUGAGUGUAUACAAAGUUUGAGUAAGUGUGGUAUUAAUAGCAGCAAUGUCAACAGCAGCAAUGUCAACAGCAGCAAUGUCAACAGCAGUAAUGUCAACAGUAAUAAUAUCAACAGUAAUAAUGUCAACAGUAAUAAUAUCAACAGUAAUA
ensembl:lncRNA